UUGGAUCUGGCUGCGGUACUGAUGCUCUGUCUUUCCUGUUUGCUUCUCCUUUCACUGUGAACACAGAUCUCUGGGAGAGGGAAGCUCCCUUCUGAUUCCACUCCUCUCCAAGUUAUUGAAAGUAUCCUACAGAUGGCUGAUAAGGAUAUCUGCAAAUCUAGUAGCAAUUUAAUUCUCAAAAGUCUAUGUCCCAGUGUUCACUGUAUUUUGACAUGAAGCUUGUCUUGGUGUUGCAUGGAUAUGAAGUGUUGAAGAAAGCUCUAAUUCAUCAUGGGGAGGAGUUUUCUGGAAAAGGUAUUUUCCCAGUAUCCAAAAAAAAAACUUAUCAUUUUUAGCAACAGAAAGCCAUGUAAGGAGAUCUGGCCCUUCUUGCUCAUGACCCUGUGGAAUUGUGGGGUGGUAAAGAGGAGCACUGGGGAAGCAUGUUCAAGUGGAAGCCCACUGUAUUGUGUGGGAGUUGAGAAGAACCAAGGGU
rnacentral:lncRNA from 1 species